rnacentral:rRNA from 1 species
UACGUAGGGAGCAAGCGUUGUUCGGAUUUACUGGGCGUAAAGGGCGCGUAGGCGGCGCGGUAAGUCACUUGUGAAAUCUCUGAGCUUAACUCAGAACGGCCAAGUGAUACUGCAGUGCUAGAGUGCAGAAAGGGCAAUCGGAAUUCUUGGUGUAGCGGUAAAAUGCGUAGAUAUCAAGAGGAACACCUGAGGCGAAGGCGGGUUGCUAGGCUGACACUGACGCUGAGGCGCGAAAGCCAGGGGAGCAAACGGG